rnacentral:lncRNA from 1 species
GAUCUGCCAGCCUUGGCCUCCUGAGGUGCCGGGAUUGCAGACGGAGACUCCUUCACUCAGUGCUCAAUGUUGCCCAGGCUGGAGUGCAGUGGCGUGAUCUUGGCUAGCUACAACCUCCACCUCCCAGCCGCCUGCCUUGGACUCCCAAAGUGCCGAGAUUGCAGCCUCUUCCCGGCUGUCAUCCCAUCUAGGAAGUAAGGAGUGUCUCUGCCUGGCCACCCAUCGUCUGAGAUGUGGGGAGCACCUUUGCUCUGCCACCCCAUCUGGGAUGUGAGGAGUGCCUCUGCCCAGCCACGACCCCGUCUGGGAGGUGAGGAGCGUUUCUGCCCAGCCACCCCGUCUGAGAAAUGAGGAGCCCCUCGGCCCAGCAGCCACCCCAUCUGAGAAGUGAGGAGCCCCUCUGCCCAGCAGCUGCCCCAUCUGAGAAGUGCUGUUUUAGGACAUGAGAGUACACCCAAAACAAAAAUGGACAGAAAUUCCAGUCUCAUAAUUGUGAGAGAUCCAGAAGAUACUUCUACAAUUUCCCUUCAGUUACAUAUGGACACCUUAAUAAAAGAAUAUUAU